GACGAACGCUGGCGGCGUGCUUAACACAUGCAAGUCGAACGGAAAGGCCCUGCUUUUGUGGGGUGCUCGAGUGGCGAACGGGUGAGUAACACGUGAGUAACCUGCCCUUGACUUUGGGAUAACUUCAGGAAACUGGGGCUAAUACCGGAUAGGAGCUCCUGCUGCAUGGUGGGGGUUGGAAAGUUUCGGCGGUUGGGGAUGGACUCGCGGCUUAUCAGCUUGUUGGUGGGGUAGUGGCUUGCCAAGGCUUUGACGGGUAGCCGGCCUGAGAGGGUGACCGGCCCCAUUGGGACUGGGAUACGGCCCAGACUCCUACGGGAGGCAGCAGGGGGGAAUAUUGCACAAUGGGCGGAAGCCUGAUGCAGCAACGCCGCGUGCGGGAUGACGGCCUUCGGGUUGUAAACCGCUUUCGCCUGUGACGAAGCGUGAGUGACGGUAAUGGGUAAAGAAGCACCGGCUAACUACGUG
rnacentral:rRNA from 1 species